UUACGGCCAUAUCACGUUGAAACUACAGGUUCCCGUACGCCCACCAAAGUUAAGUAACGCCAAACCUGGUCAGAAGCUAGAUGGGUGACCGCUUGGAAAUACCAGGUGCUGUAAG